UCUCAGGCCUCAGCCGAAUACGGAAGAGAAAUCUCAACAAAUUCGGUUGAAAAUUAUGGCGGCCUUUCUUCAUCUUUCUACGAUUUCCUGCUCAUUCUCUGAUUUGCUUUCUUACAAUAAGCAAAUCCUCACCUUCUAGUAUACCUAUUACAGAAAUAUGCUUCUGGGAUUAGAUGUGGUUUAACACUUACAUACUAUAUCGGAAUUUGGUGUUGGAUUAGUUUAACACUUACCCACUAUAUGUGCAAUGACAAGCAGCAUUGACUCCGCUUCAUACACCUCCUUAAUCACUUUCAAUAUUUUCCCUUCUCUUUCUAAAUAAAGAAAUUGCUCAUGUAUGAGGCAGCUAGCGAGCUGAUGUUUGGUGGGUCUCGAUUUUCUGGAAUAACAGCAAGUCUUUUUCCUUUCUCGGGUUUUUCAUUUUCUUCUUCUUGUGCACAUGCUUUUCCCUUCAAUUUAUAACUCCCCAUUG
rnacentral:lncRNA from 1 species